GUGGGGAAUUUUGGACAAUGGGCGCAAGCCUGAUCCAGCAAUGCCGCGUGCAGGAAGAAGGCCUUCGGGUUGUAAACUGCUUUUGUACGGAACGAAAAGGCUCUGGUUAAUACCUGGGGCUCAUGACGGUACCGUAAGAAUAAGCACCGGCUAACUACGUGCCAGCAGCCGCGGUAAUACGUAGGGUGCAAGCGUUAAUCGGAAUUACUGGGCGUAAAGCGUGCGCAGGCGGUUUUGUAAGACAGACGUGAAAUCCCCGGGCUCAACCUGGGAAUUGCGCUUGUGACUGCAGUGCUGGAGUGCGGCAGAGGGGGAUGGAAUUCCGCGUGUAGCAGUGAAAUGCGUAGAUAUGCGGAGGAACACCGAUGGCGAAGGCAAUCCCCUGGGCCUGCACUGACGCUCAUGCACGAAAGCGUGGGGAGCAAACAGGAUUAGAAACCCCAGUAGUCC
rnacentral:rRNA from 1 species